ensembl:lncRNA
GCGUCAGCGGGCACCAAGGCGGGAUCUUUUUCCUGCGGACUUAGGGGCUGAGUCCGAGCACCCGGGGCUAGGAUGGUGGGCGCGAGCCGAUCUCUCCUCCCACUGCCCAAAAGCCCCAAGGAGAGGGUGGGCGUCCGGGGGCGCCGGAGCGUAAUAAACCAUACACCACCUACCCGGCGCCGGAGGAGGAAGAAGCCGAGCGGAGGGGGUGGGGGAAGCGGGGAGACCGCCCCUAACCCCUUCCUCAAAUGCUUUCCCGCCCCGACUAGAUUCCGUCGGGCCUGCGGAGCCCCAGGAGGCGCGCGAGGCCAGGUUUGCGAGCGCCCCCUGCCGCCGCCCAGAUGGCCUGCGGCUGGCCGGGAGACCCGCGUGCCCGCCGCCUCUUGCGGGCACCAAAAAGAUUCCCAAGCCCGGUGGGGCAAGCGAGCGCUCAGCGAUUUAUGACUUCAGCUUUCCUGUUCUCCUGCAGCUGCCUCAGUUUCCUCCAUUAAAGGCAAAGCUCUCCGUUGCUGUCACACACACCUUCCGGAGCUGCCUGCUCCACGCAGCCCUGCAUGGAUCAGAGCCAUGGCCACAGCAGGGCUUCUUCAGCUCUUCCCCGACGAGAUCUCAGCUUCCGUUGUCAUCCUGUCCACCACCGCUGGCAGAGUUCAGUCCCAGACCCACAACCAGCCAGCAGCAGGAGCUGCCCGGAUCCUUCCCAGCCACGGGUGGGGGAGGGGUGGACGGGACAGGCCCUGACCCGCCUUCCCGGCCCCACCAGGCUAAUAUUGGUCCCUAGACAGGCCCUGAGCUCCCACAUGUCCCCCAGCCCUUUCCAGGGGCAGUGUGCUCUGCCAGAAACCCCCUCCUGACCGUUCCUUCUGUGCUUGGUGGGCCCCUGCUCUCUUUCAAGGUCCACUCACCUGCCACCACCACUCUCAGGCAGAGGGAGGUGCUCUGUUCUCCAGGGUCCCUGACUCCGUGCGCACAGCACCACUUUCACGCUGGGAGCACUGUACUAAGACGGCGUCCGAGGGGUUUCCGCCAGAGCAGACAUCCCUUCUCUCUCCCCAACACCUGGCCAAGAUUGUUGAAUGGAGAAAAUGGAGGCCGACUGGAGGAACUCAGCCCCCACACACCUGCACCUGAGCUCCGACUCCGCUCGCUCGUAGCCAAGCCCUCCAGUGGGCCCCAGACCCUCUCACAUCCCCCGGGACUCUGCUCCCUCUGUUAUCCCCUCCCUGGCUGUCACUCCUCCACCACACAGGCCAGCCCGCUCUUAAGAAGCCCUCUAUGGUUGUUGUCUCCCCUCCCCCACCACCACCGCCGCCACCCCACCCCACCACUGCAGCUGCCAUCUCCUCCACCGUUUGCCUCAGCAGCCCUCGCUGGGCCGUCUGGUGGGUCACUCAUGACUCCACAUCUCCAAGUGCCAGGCUCAUUUCUGUGUCCUCCUGACUCAGUUUCUCAGCAACACUUAUCCAGUGGACAGCUCCCUUCCCUUGGAACACGCUGCAGUCCUGCCCCCUCCUCGCUGCCACUCCUUUUCAGCACCUUUUCUUCUCCCAAACUCGGAAUCGGUGAUCCCCAGAGUGGUUUUUGCCCCCUCCCUCCAAGGAACAUUUGGCAAUAUCUGGAGACAUUUUUGACUGUCACAGCAGGAGGAAGGGGGGUGCUACUGGCAUCUAGUAGGUAGUGGCCAGUGAUGCUGUUAGGGGUCUUAGGAUGAACAGGACAGCCCCCCACAACAAAGGAUUAUGGGCACAACGCACUAAGAGAGCUGAGAUUGAGAAACCCCGCUCUAAGGGAUGCUGCACCCGGUUCAGUCCUGGGAUCCCCUUUCUGCUGCACCUGAGCUCCUCUUGGGUAAUUUCAUCCAGCCCCAUGGCUCCCACCUGGAUGCUGAUGCUCCCCAAAUACAUCUGCCCUGAGCUCCAGGCUCAUGCAGCCCACACACUCCCCGACCCUCCCGUUCCAUGGCUGGCAGCCUCAGACUUAACAUACCCAUUUCCCCUGAACCAUGCCUGUCCCCUUGGUUCUCAGCGCUCCAUCCAGUCACAAGUGCAGAUGCCUCAACCUCCAAAACAUACAAAAGCACCCACUUCUUCCUAUUCCUACUACCCCCAUCGCUCUCACUUGCACAACUUUACUGGCUUCCAACUGUGCUCCCUGCUUUCAACCCAUUUUCCACAGAGCAUCCAGAAUGACUUUUAAAAUCUUAAAUCAGAUCUUGUCACUCCCCUCCUUAGAACCCUGUUGCUCUUAGAAUAAAACCACCCCCGCCGACCGACCUGGUCCUGCCUGCCUCCUCCCCUCUUCAUCCCUCCACAUCUUGCUUCUUCCUGCCUCAGGGCCUUUGCACUGGCUGCUUAUUCCCCCACCCCCCCCCAGAUUUUUCCAGGGUAGCCUCCUCCAGUCAUUCAGGUUUCAGUUGAAAUGCCAACAACCUAAAUGAAGGCUCCCCUCCCCCACUACUUAUCAAUCCCAGGUACUUUCUUAUUGGCCUGUUUACUGCCCCCAUCCCCAC